AGUUUACCUCUCUCGCAAUGCUUGAUCUCAUUUUAUCUCAAAAGCUAAGCAGAGCUGGGUCUGCUUACUGGGUCUGGAUUUGGGAAUUU
rnacentral:rRNA from 1 species